UUCCUCGGCCGCGCACUUAAUUCUCUCCUCCCUCCUUUCCACUUCUCUCUGCCAUCAUCGGAUACCACCACUUCCGGCCACCAAUUCACAACACCGCUACCGCCAAUCAAUUCUGGACCCAAUUCCGAUUAAAACCCAAGAAGAUCACUGCCAUCCACCGCUGCCAGCCUCAUCACGCGACCAUCAAAGUCGCGACGGCGCUGCUCCCUAGCUCUCAUCAAGUUUCGGCCAUUUUCUCAACACACCCCCGCCAUCAGCGUGCUCAGACGAAGCGGGACAUCAAAAUCCAGAAUCCUCGCCGCCGACCCAUCCGCGGAGGGCUCCGCAAGCCCCAUCGCCGGAAUCCUAGACUCUGGGUUUCUCCGGUCUUUCUUCUCCAAAUCGAAGCGAGCUCUAAUACCUCCAAGAAUGGAGUGCCUCUCCUUUUACCAAAACCAAGGGCCCCCGACUUCUGAUUUCAACCAGAGCCGCCGUGGACGCCGCCGGCUUAUCCUCUUCGUUCUGGUAACACAUUCUGCAAAGCCUCUCUUUCGUUAAUAGGUUGAGUUCCAAUUUAACUGUAAUGGAUUUAUUAAUGGUCAGUUCUUUUGAUUGUUUUUCUUCAAUUUCGUACUUGGAGGAAACGGUGGAAAUUCAAAUGUGAAGGGGAGCUUUUGGUCUUGAUUUCUAUUGAGUUUUUAAAGGGAUGAUGAGGACCUUAGGAGGACUGCAGGAAGCACUAGGUCAUCGAGACUAUGGUCUCGGCAGGUACAAGACGUUACUUGAGCAAACCAAUUUGGGUAAGCUUCUCAUCCAUUCGAGUCGGCACAACAGUAGAUAGAUAAAUCACAGAGUGAAAGACAGGUCAAGGUGCGACCUACAGUGAGGCAACAAGUGUAUGGCAUUGAAAGACAGUGAGGUCAUAUGUAAGACGCUACCACAUUAGCGUGUUUGUGGACACAUUUGGAAGAACAAUUGUUGGAUGGAAUUGUCGGAAUGGUCCAGUAUUGGAACACGAAGAAUAGGCUCAUUGAAAAUAGUUUUAUAUAUGCACAGGAGACCACAUGACUUAACCAAGUGAAGUCUUUAAAGUAUACAGUAGUACCCUGAAUUUCUAUAAGAUCCCUGUAAUGCUGUCAACAAUUUCAGUUGUCGUUCGCACGUACCUAUGCAAAUUUGCUGCUUUGAUUCAUUCAAAGCUACCCUUUUGUCUUUCAAA